AACAUACUCCCUCCGUCCGGAAAUACUUGUCAUCAAAAUGAAUAAAAGGGAAUGUAUCUAGAUGUAUUUUAGUUCUAGAUACAUCCCUUUUUGUCCAUUUUGAUGACAAGUAUUUUCGGACGGAGGGAGUAUAAC
rnacentral:pre_miRNA from 1 species